CACCCCCCAAGCCUUGCUUGAUGUUGGGCCAUGACGUGCUGUCAAGCCCCAAACCUUUAGGCGCCCCCCACUGGCCGCGAGCGUAGCAAGAAUUUUAUUCCCUCGCUUCGCGUGUCCAUUGGGCGGGUCGCCGAUUGACCCCCAAAAUUUUACAAG
rnacentral:misc_RNA from 1 species